CCAUUUGAUCACGUUUCAUCGAAGUUCCGUCAGAAGAUGAACGAUGCGAUGUGUCAGGAAUUAAUCAAAGCUUUAAGAAAGCUAAACAUUGAGGCUUUUUUGUCAGAGCUGGUUGAAAUUAUAAUGCUCGAGCUGCAGCAGUGGGAUGAGACUCCAGCAAUGGAGGAAUAUGAAUUGUGUUUUGCAAUGACGGAUCUGCAUGGGUCCCGUCUUCAGGAUUGGAUCACAUCUCAACUAAAGUUCAACUUCAACACAUCAUACAUUGCUGGAAUAUUCCAGUCAAGCUCGAGAGGGAAUUAUUAAGUACAAGAUAACGGUUAAAAUGUCAUAUGCUUUACUCACAUUGCGUUUGAAUUGCUUGCCAUUGUUCAAAACACGUUAGUCGGGAGAUAAUGAAUUUUUGGUAUUGCAUUUA